rnacentral:rRNA from 1 species
GAUGAACGCUAGCUACAGGCUUAACACAUGCAAGUCGAGGGGUCUUUUGGAGCUUGCUUUAAAAGACGACCGGCGCACGGGUGAGUAACGCGUAUCCAACCUGCCCUUCAUAUUGGGAUAGCCUUUCGAAAGGAAGAUUAAUACCGAAUAACAUGAUAGAGUUGCCUGAUUUUAUCAUGAAAGCUCCGGCGAUGAAGGAAGGGGAUGCGUUCGAUUAGGUAGUAGGCGGGGUAACGGCCCACCGAGCCGACGAUGGAUCGGGGUUCUGAGAGGAAGGUCCCCCACACUGGAACUGAGACACGGUCCAGACUCCUACGGGAGGCAGCAGUGAGGAAUAUUGGUCAAUGGGCGCAAGCCUGAACCAGCCAAGUAGCGUGAAGGAUGACUGCCCUAUGGGUUGUAAACUUCUUUUAUACGGGAACAAACCCCGGUACGUGUACCGGAUUGCGUGUACCGUAUGAAUAAGCAUCGGCUAACUCCGUGCCAGCCGCCGCCGUAAAAC